CGGGAUUUUCAAAUUUGAAAGUAUCCAAUGAUUAAGGCGCAUCGCUCUCAGCCAAUCGGGGACGAGAACAUGAUAUAAAAAGGGCUAUGGUAUCAGCGUGUAAUCAAUCCACAGCAGUGGUUUUUGGAGCCAGCUCGUUCCUCUCGUAGAGAUGGCGCGGACGAAGCAGACGGCGCGUAAGUCGACGGGCGGGAAGGCGCCCCGCAAGCAGCUGGCCACCAAGGCGGCCCGCAAGAGCGCGCCGGCCACGGGCGGCGUGAAGAAGCCGCACCGCUACCGGCCCGGCACGGUGGCGCUGCGCGAGAUCCGGCGCUACCAGAAGUCGACGGAGCUGCUGAUCCGCAAGCUGCCCUUCCAGCGGCUGGUGCGCGAGAUCGCGCAGGACUUCAAGACCGACCUGCGCUUCCAGAGCUCGGCCGUGAUGGCGCUGCAGGAGGCGAGCGAGGCCUACCUGGUGGGGCUCUUCGAGGACACCAACCUGUGCGCCAUCCACGCCAAGCGCGUCACCAUCAUGCCCAAGGACAUCCAGCUGGCACGCCGCAUACGCGGAGAGCGGGCCUGAGGCUCCUGCCCCAGGGUCCCUUCUCUGUGAACCGGAACUUUUAUCUCUGCACCCUUAAAGGCUCUUUUAAGAGCCACCAAGUUACACAGGAGAGCUGUGACACGGCCUUUUCUAUUUAUGUAAAGGACUGAAUAAUUUUAAAGCUCUUUUCAGGACAACUGAAGAAGUUGAAGCAAGGACUGAAAUUAUGCUUUUGUCAUCUGGCUUCUUUUAGAAGAACACAACUCUUAUGGGCUAUUGGAAGGUUUCCUUUACUCCCCAGGCUGCAUCCAGGUGCUGUCUGAUAGAUUGUGUCUAUAAUGGAGCAAGCAUCUCUAAGAGAAAACAAAUGGUGCUCAGAAGCCUCUACUGACACUGUCAUCUUCUAAUAGGACCCUUCAGUGCUGCCCAGCACUCAAGACUGUUACACGCCAGGUACCAAUGGUGCAUUUUACAGAUGGGGGAAAGAUAGGAAGAUGUUUCCCAAAACAGUAUGAGAAACUACUCCCUGUUAUGAAUCUGAGGCCUAAUUUUUAACUUCCUAUUUUAAUGUUCAGGUUAUUGUUAGACUGGUCAUUCCUAUAUGCAUGUUGCAGCAACAAUUCAAGCAAAGGUGGUUGGAAGGACCCUUAUGAGGAACGCUGAAAGCUGCAUGCGCACACGUAUACAUACACAAUCAUGCCAGUAACUUUUCUGAAGAAUCCUAGAAAUCUGACAACUCAGCGUAUUUUCUGACUGUAUAAAAUCAUGUGAUUGCUACCUGGGGGAGUGCAAAUUCAAAACAAAUACAUGUACAAUCAUUGGAAAAAACCACAAUUUUCCACCUUAAAUUUUUAAUGAAACUCUUAUUAAAAAUAUCCCAGUCCAACCACCUCCCCACCUGCUCCAAAAGAAAAACAAAAAAAAAACCCACAAAAAAACAAACACCAACACCAACCUUCUAAAAAAACCCUCAGGAAAUAGAUAACAGUUUUUACCCCCACUCCACCUCCUUUUAUAUUAUCAAUAGAAAAAAAAAUCCAGAAAAACUUGAUAGUUAUUCCUGUGUACAAUACUUUUCAGUCAGUUUCGUGGUCUUUUUAGGCAUGUUUCUGCGCUGUAAGAAAUAAGACUCAUGUGACCUGCUUCUUUGGCAUGGUCAUACAUAAUUGAGACUGGUCUCAAAACUGACUCUUUGAGACAUAUUCUUGCUCCCGGGGUUAACAAUUUUUGGAGCAAGGUGGUAGCCCCCAGUAAAACCUAAUGCCUUAGGUUCAACACAAACAGAAUUUCAGUGGACUAUGGGAAGUUUCCACUUUUGCCCAGAUCCAGUGAGCUAGGCGAGGUUAGAGGCAGUUCCUGAGCCCAGGCCCAUGUCAGACAGAGAAGUGUGUGCCAUCUCCCUUCUACAUCAAGGCCAGUUGAGUCCAGUGCACUCAUAAUGCAAAAAAAAAAUCCUUUCUGCCUGAUAUUCCCUGCUGACCAAGCUUAAACUAAUACAUUGACUUCCGAGCCCUCCCUGUGUCCAGUUUUGUCUCUCUCCUACACAUACUGCUCAAAAAGUGCCUGUUACUAUCCUUUGGUAUUUGCAAUCCAGGGAAUUGCAGAGCAGGAAAUGUAGAGCCUUAUGGGGUUUAUUAAAGAUGAAUAUUUACAUGGAGAAAA